UUAAGUUCAGCGGGUAGUCCUACCUGAUUUGAGAUCAAACAUUCAAAGAGCUGUCCCUCACUGAGGAGAGACAUUUAUAAGCCCCAGUGAACCUCCGUCACCGAAGGUUGCCCAGCGGAAACCACAAGCGUAGAUAGUUAUCACACCUGUGAUCCUGCCAAACACUGGCAAGCUGAUCCAUUUGAGAGGAGCUGACUAUA
rnacentral:misc_RNA from 1 species